rnacentral:rRNA from 1 species
CGUAAACGAUGAGUGCUAAGUGUUAGGGGGUUCCGCCCUUUAGUGCUGCAGCUAACGCAUUAAGCACUCCGCUGGGGAGUACGACCGCAAGGUUGAAACUCAAAGGAAUUGACGGGGGCCCGCACAAGCGGUGGAGCAUGUGGUUUAAUUCGAAGCAACGCGAAGAACCUUACCAGGUCUUGACAUCCUUUGACAACUCUAGAGAUAGAGCUUUCCCUUCGGGGACAAAGUGACAGGUGGUGCAUGGUUGUCGUCAGCUCGUGUCGUGAGAUGUUGGGUUAAGUCCCGCAACGAGCGCAACCCUUAUUGUUAGUUGCCAUCAUUCAGUUGGGCACUCUAGCGAAACUGCCGGUGACAAACCGGAGGAAGGUGGGGAUGACGUCAAAUCAUCAUGCCCCUUAUGACCUGGGCUACACACGUGCUACAAUGGACAGUACAAUGAGCAGCGACACGGCGACGUGAAGCGAAUCUCAUAAAGCUGUUCUCAGUUCGGAUUGUAGGCUGCAACUCGCCUACAUGAAGCCGGAAUCGCUAGUAAUCGCGGAUCAGCACGCCGCGGUGAAUACGUUCCCGGGCCCUGUACACACCGCCCGUCACACCACGAAAGUUUGUAACACCCAAAGUCGGUGAGGUAACCUUCGGGAGCCAGCCGCCUAAGGUGGGAUAGAUGAUUGGGGUGAAGUCGUAACAAGGUAACCA